UACGAAGGGGGCUAGCGUUGUUCGGAAUCACUGGGCGUAAAGGGCGCGUAGGCGGCUUUAUAAGUCGGGGGUGAAAGCCUGUGGCUCAACCACAGAAUUGCCUUCGAUACUGUAGAGCUUGAGACCGGAAGAGGUAAGUGGAACUGCGAGUGUAGAGGUGAAAUUCGUAGAUAUUCGCAAGAACACCAGUGGCGAAGGCGGCUUACUGGUCCGGCAUUGGACGCUGAGGAGCGAAAGCCAGGGGAAGCAAAGCGGG
rnacentral:rRNA from 1 species